AUUGAACGCUGGCGGCAUGCUUUACACAUGCAAGUCGAACGGUAACAGGCCGCAAGGUGCUGACGAGUGGCGAACGGGUGAGUAAUGCAUCGGAACGUGCCCAGUCGUGGGGGAUAACUACUCGAAAGAGUAGCUAAUACCGCAUACGAUCUAUGGAUGAAAGCGGGGGACCGUAAGGCCUCGCGCGAUUGGAGCGGCCGCUGUCAGAUUAGGUAGUUGGUGGGGUAAAGGCUCACCAAGCCAACGAUCUGUAGCUGGUCUGAGAGGACAACCAGCCACACUGGGACUGAGACACGGCCCAGACUCCUACGGGAGGCAGCAGUGGGGAAUUUUGGACAAUGGGCGCAAGCCUGAUCCAGCAAUGCCGCGUGCAGGAAGAAGGCCUUCGGGUUGUAAACUGCUUUUGUACGGAACGAAACGGCUCUGGUUAAUACCCGGGGCUAAUGACGGUACCGUAAGAAUAAGCACCGGCUAACUACGUG
rnacentral:rRNA from 1 species